UGCUGGCUGCUCUUCUAUAUUUUCCUAUGUCUCCUAGAGGCAGCGCUCAUGAACACUAAAAUUUCUCAGACACCUAGAUAUCUGGUCAUGGGAAGAGCAAAUAAUAAAUCUUUGAAAUGUGAACAAUAUAUGGGAAAUAAUGCCAUGUACUGGUAUAAACAGAAUGCCGAGAAGCCGCCAGAGCUCAUGUUCUUCUACAAUCUUAAACAACUGAUUCAAAAUGAGACUGUGCCCAGUCGUUUCUUACCUGAAUGUCCAGACACCUCCAAGUUAUUCCUUCACCUGUCUGCCCUGGAGCCAGAAGACUCAGCUCUGUAUUUCUGUGCUAGCAGCCAAGGACAGAAACAGUAUUUCGGUCCCGGCACCAAGCUCACGGUUUUAGAGGACCUGAGCAAGGUGAGCCCACCCAAGGUCACCUUGUUUGAGCCAUCAGAAGCAGAGAUCGUCGACAAACAAAUGGCUACCCUCGUGUGCCUGGCCAGGGGCUUCUACCCUGACCAUGUGGAACUGAGCUGGUGGGUGAACGGGAAGGAGCUGCGCAGUGGAGUCAGCACAGACCCUCAGCCCUACAAGGAGACCAAUAACAUCACCUACUGCCUGAGCAGCCGCCUGAGGGUCUCUGCAACCUUCUGGCACAAUCCUCGCAACCACUUCCGCUGCCAAGUCCAGUUCUAUGGGCUUACAGCUGAAGAUGAGUGGGACAAGGCCUCGCCCAAGCCUGUCGACCAGAACGUCAGUGCAGAGGUCCGGGGCCGAGCAGACUGUGGCAUCACCUCAGCAUCCUAUCACCAGGGGGUUCUGUCUGCUACCAUCCUCUAUGAGAUCCUACUAGGGAAGGCCACCCUGUAUGCUGUGCUCGUCAGCGCCCUGGUGCUGAUGGCCAUGGUCAAGAAAAAAAAUUCCUGAGACCAAGUCUUGUGCAUCCUGGGUUGUUCUCCAUCCUAGUCCCAGAUUCUCCUGCACCUUCUCCAAUCCCUGUUCCUCUGGAGAUAUUCUUUAUUCAAAGCAUCUCUUCUUCCUCCAUGGAUAUCUGUCCUUCCUUGCCACUACCCAAAGACUGACCUCUUGACUCUAAAACAGACUAAAUCAAUAAAUGAUGUUGAGCUGGG